rnacentral:misc_RNA from 1 species
GUCGGACUUGUCUGGCCGUGAAAGUCCCUCGAAUGAAUCAAAGAUAUGGUGCUGCCGCUUUCCAUCGUUUGCUUUGCAAAUCAAAUAGGAGUCCGCACCUUCAAACGCUCCGCACUCCGCAGUAUCGCCCUCCACAUCCUUGGUAAGUCUAAUCAGUUGCCAUACGAGCCAUCGCCGCUCGCUGUUCCAAAAAUUCAACUCAUUAAACUGGCUCAGAUAGGCAUUGAAAUCUUCAUCGUGAAUCCAGUCCAUUUGAGGCCAUUG